rnacentral:rRNA from 1 species
UACGUAGGGUGCAAGCGUUGUCCGGAAUUAUUGGGCGUAAAGAGCUCGUAGGCGGUCUGUCGCGUCGGACGUGAAAACCCAGGGCUCAACCCUGGGCCUGCGUUCGAUACGGGCAGACUAGAGUUCGGUAGGGGAGACUGGAAUUCCUGGUGUAGCGGUGAAAUGCGCAGAUAUCAGGAGGAACACCGGUGGCGAAGGCGGAUCUCUGGGCCUUACCUGACGCUGAGACGCGAAAGCUAGGGGAGCGAACAGG